AUGCGCUGUUUGUGUGUGGAGUAGGAUGGGGAAUCGUGUUUGUUCCAAGAAAUUCAGGUUGAAGAAAACGGUACACAUUAGCAAUCUGAAAAAGAUAACAAGAUCUUUUAUGAAGAAGAUUUUCAAGACUUGUUAUGAAAUUGAACAAAAAUUGAAGAGGAAAAGGGAGUUGUUGAUUGAGCACCAUCAACUUAAGUUACAAAUUGCUAAUCUUGAAAGGAACAGAAUACUCAAAGAAGUUGAAAUUGAAAAGGGAAACAACGUGGAAGAAGUACAAAAGCUUUAAAGAAAGCCAAACGAAGUAACAAGCUUAUGUUGCUAGUUCGGGUUCAAACAACCAGAAAUAGAGACUUAAGGUUCUAUCAACUUUGGGGAUUCAACACCACCGUGUUUGCAAAAUAAAUUAUGUGUUUCAAUCAUAUUGUCUCGUAUUUUUAAUAAGAAGCAACACAUAACAUUUUAUAUUGUCUUAUGGUUUUGGAUUCAAUGGUUUAUAUGCAAGUCCAUAAUCACAAUAAUUUGCUUAAUGUAGUAAAUUUCUUUUAGUUUCGAUAAAAAGUUCAAGAAACCAUCAAAUGAGUUUAUAUAGAGAGGGAUGUUUUGAAUGAAAA